rnacentral:rRNA from 1 species
UUAAUAUUUAUUUAUUAAUUUUUUUUUAAAAAAAUAUAAAGUAUUUAAAAUAAUAAUAAAAUUUAAAUGUUUAAGUAUUGUAUAAAGAAAAAAUAAUUUUAAUAAUAGUUUAUUAGUAUUGUGAAAUAAAAUUGAAAUAUAAAUGAAAAAUUUUUAUUUAAAAAGAAAAUUUAAUUUAUUGUAUCUUGUGUAUCAGAGUAUAUUAAAUAAAAAAUAUUUAUAAUAUUUUUCUCGAUUUUAAAAGAUUUAAUAAGUUAAAAAUGUUAAUGUGAUAAAAUUAUAUUUAAUAAUUUAUUAGAAAUGAAAUGUUAUUCGUUUUUAAAGGUAUCUAGUUUUUUAAGAAAUAAAUUUAAUUUAAUAUUCAAAAUUUAUUUUAAUUAUUUAUUUUAAUUAAAUAAUUUUUGAAGUUUAAUAUUUUAUGGGAUAAGCUAUAAAAUAAAAUUUUAUAAAUAAUAAAUAAUAUUUAAAAUUUAAUAUGUUUAAAAGUAUCAAUUUUUAUUAAGUUUGUUAUAAAUUAAUUUUUUUUAAUAAAUUAUUUAUUAAAUUUUAAAUUUUUUAUUAAAAUAUUUAUUUUAAUAUAAAAAAUAAAGUAAUAAUGAUAUAAUUAGUAUAUAAUUUUUUGUAAAAGUAUAUUUUGUAUUGAAAAGUUUAUGUAAAGAAUUCGGCAAAAAUAAUGUUCGCCUGUUUAACAAAAACAUGUCUUUUAGUAAUUAAUUUAAAGUCUGACCUGCCCACUGAAAUUUUUAAAUGGCCGCAGUAUAUUAACUGUGCAAAGGUAGCAUAAUCAUUAGUCUUUUAAUUGAAGGCUGGAAUGAAUGGUUGGACGAAAUAUUAACUGUUUCAUUUAAAUUUAUAAUAGAAUUUUAUUUUUUAGUUAAAAAGCUAAAAUGAAUUUAAAAGACGAGAAGACCCUAUGAAUCUUUAUAUAUAUAUUAUUUUAAUUUUAUAGAUUAAUUUAAUUAUAAUAAAUAAUAUAUAUUUUAUUGGGGUGAUAUUAAAAUUUAAAUAACUUUUAAAAUUUAAAUCAUUGAUUUAUGAAUAAAUGAUCCAUUUUUAAUGAUUAAAAAUUUAAGUUACUCUAGGGAUAACAGCGUAAUUUUUUUGGAGAGUUCAUAUCGAUAAAAAAGAUUGCGACCUCGAUGUUGGAUUAAGAAAUAAUUUUAGGUGUAGCCGUUUAAAUUUAAAGUCUGUUCGACUUUUAAAAUCUUACAUGAUCUGAGUUCAAACCGGCGUAAGCCAGGUUGGUUUCUAUCUUUAAUAAAAUUAAUAUAUUUUAGUACGAAAGGAUUGAAUAUAUAAAUAAUAAUAUUUUUUUGUUAAUAAGAAUAUAAAUAAUUUAAGAAUAAAA